AACGUAUCAGGAACCCCAACGCAUUUACAUUAUAUCCCAAAACAUUUGAAACUUCAUCGUACAGUAUAUACAAAAAACAAAUUUGAAAAUAUUAAGUCAUUUAGUAGAGCUAAUCCUUAACCAGAGGACUACGUCGACGUGAAAUGCGUCAGUUGCAACCCGUGAGGGGAACUUUUUCAACUGCUUGACGGACGAGGAACAGCACUGUCUGCAGCAUGCGUUUCGCUGAAUCACGAAAUGAAUCAUAUUGUUUUGGAACAUGAGCGAGGGAUAGCUAACCAAAUACUCUCUAGCGCGUGUGCACAUUACACAACGAUAUUGUUUACUGCAGUACGUCGUGUUAUGAAUUCUGUUCCACCACUUCCAUUAUAUGUACGGGAUAUUUAGCUAACGAACCAGACUAGCCUGUUUCUUCUGGCUGCGCUGUACUGCUUUAGAAUCAAUCGCCGAUACCGUAAGUUUCACUAGCAAGUACCAUUAGUAGAGUUAGUGGAACUCUUGAGAAGUUCAGCGUAUUCAUCUCAGAUUCAUCCUUCGAGUCCUUUGAUUGGGCGUUGCGCGUGCACGUAUUGUUCAAACACAUGUGCAAUGAGACGUCAAAGUCGAGAGGUUACUGGACGUCCUCUGCUUUUGACCAACUCUGAGGACACAUCUCUGAGGACACUGUUUUUAGUCCCCAUGCUUUAAACGGCUGCUGUAAAAUCGAGACCUGUAAGUACUCGACACGUUUGCAAUGAAAAACAGGAGGAUGGACUUGGAUCUAAACAUCAGGUAAGGUAGAUUGUUCUUUAUGUUGUUUCAUUUGUAUGUUUAAUAACUGCAUAGUAGUGUUUCAAAAUGUGAUUGUGAGGUGAAUCAUCAUGGUUCUUAACAGGGCGAUUUCAAGUUCAUUGCAAGUUUACUAACAGAAACAUUUUUAUAAAUUAUUACCCAUCUGCAAAAAUCUCCUUCUCUCCCCAGAAACAAUAUCCUGUUCACACUACUGCUGUAUCCUGUAUAUUUUGCAAUACUUCCUGUGCCGGUCCCCUCCUAUCUGAGUUAGGAACACUUCAUGUACAAUACUUAGCAUGCAAGCUGAUUCUAGCAAGCCGGAAUUUCCAAGAAAACUGAUUCUUUGUUCCUCCCACUGGACUGGAUGAAGCAUCUUCUCAGCCCUGUACUGGAAGCCCACACUAUAGAACCUGCAACUGUAGGACAAAAUCUGCAGCAUGUUGCAUUCCCUUCUUGAAAAGCAUUCCCUGAACUUUCUGUGAGUCAGCCACAAGAGAUUUCAGCUCAUGCAGCUUUUCAGGAACCCUUCUCUGUUUUUGGCUGUAUUGAAAUGCUCCUGUAUUGAACCAUGUGCAAACUUGUUUUGCACAUGUGGGAGAAAAAGGUAUUUUAGUUUAGAUCACUGUUGAUUUUUUGCAGCUUAAAACAAAUACUUGAAUUCUUGGAGCAAUCAGUACCCUCCUAACCUGAGAGAGAUGGGCGGCUGUACUUUUUAAAUGAAAAGAUUAAACGAAUGCAUUACAAAUCGAAAUCAAGCAUUUUUAUUUCAAAUGAAAGAGUGGCAGGGAUCCCAUCAGUUGCAAUGGUAAAAUGCCUUUUCACAGUGUGGGAUACCACCGCAGCAACCACAAGACACCGAAGGAGUCUGAGCCAAAAAAAAAAAGCUAAAACACACAUGAAAACAGUGCUGUGAAUUGACUGUGGUUCAGGAUUGCCAUAUGAAAUGGCACAUCACCAAGGUACACAAUGACUGGACUUCUCUAACACAGAGCCUGCUGCUUGCAGACUCACUGCAGUGUCACAAUAAAAAACAGACUGUAAAAUGCAGUAAAUGCAGGAGCUGAAUGAAGCUAGUCUUAAAGAAAACUUUUCAGUGUUGGAAUCGUGACCCACAGUUUAGUAAAUGGAAGCCAUUAAGCACUGCCAGAUAUAUAUAUAUA